UACGUAGGGUGCAAGCGUUAAUCGGAAUUACUGGGCGUAAAGCGUGCGCAGGUGGUUUGUUAAGUCUGUUGUGAAAUCCCCGGGCUCAACCUGGGAAUUGCGAUGGAGACUGCAAGGCUAGAAUCUGGCAGAGGGGGGUAGAAUUCCACGUGUAGCAGUGAAAUGCGUAGAGAUGUGGAGGAACACCGAUGGCGAAGGCAGCCCCCUGGGUCAAGAUUGACGCUCAUGCACGAAAGGCGUGGGGAGCAAACAGG
rnacentral:rRNA from 1 species